AUCGAACGCUGGCGGCAGGCCUAACACAUGCAAGUCGAGCGGAGCGGCGGACGGGCGAGUAAUGCCUAGGAAUCUGCCUGGCCGCGGGGGAUAACGUCCGGAAACGGGCGCUUAUACCGCAUCCUAUCAGAUGAGCCUAGGUAGGAUUCGCUAGUUGGUGGGGUAAAGGCCUACCGAGGCGACGAUCCGUAACUGGUCUGAGAGGAUGAUCAGUCACCCUGGAACGGGGACACGGUCCAGACUCCUACGGGAGGCAGCAGUGGGGAAUAUUGGACAAUGGGCGAAAGCCUGAUCCAGCCAGGCCGCGGGUGUGAAGAAGGUCUUCGGUUUGUAAAGCACUUUAAGUUGGGAGGCGUUACCAACAGAAUAAGCACCGGCUAACUUCGUGCCAGCAGCCGCGGUAAUAC
rnacentral:rRNA from 1 species